AGCUGUGACAUCGUGGCCUUCAACAAAAUCUAAUCGAAGGAUCACGGUGACAAUGGGCGCAGGCGAGGUUUCUAGGAGUGUGAAGGAGUUAUAAAUUUUAUUUCGUUCUUAACGGAGCAAUAAUAUUAUAUUUCCUAUUCCCAUUUUUUUUGCUCAAAACUGAGUUUACUGUAGUCCUUUCCCAUUCGUUUGCGGUCCUGGUAAAAUGAGUGUCAACUUCUUGUU